rnacentral:rRNA from 1 species
UACGGGGGGAGCAAGCGUUGUUCGGAUUUACUGGGCGUAAAGGGCGCGUAGGCGGCCUCCGCAAGUCAGUUGUGAAAUCUCCGAGCUUAACUCGGAAAGGUCAACUGAUACUGCGGGGCUAGAGUGCGGAAGGGGCAACUGGAAUUCUUGGUGUAGCGGUGAAAUGCGUAGAUAUCAAGAGGAACACCUGCGGCGAAGGCGGCUUCCUGGACCGACACUGACGCUGAGGCGCGAAAGCUAGGGGAGCAAACGGG